rnacentral:rRNA from 1 species
GGCGGCAGGCCCUAACACAUGCAAGUCGAGCGGAUGAAGGGAGCUUGCUCCUGGAUUCAGCGGCGGACGGGUGAGUAAUGCCUAGGAAUCUGCCUGGUAGUGGGGGAUAACGUCCGGAAACGGGCGCUAAUACCGCAUACGUCCUGAGGGAGAAAGUGGGGGAUCUUCGGACCUCACGCUAUCAGAUGAGCCUAGGUCGGAUUAGCUAGUUGGUGGGGUAAAGGCCUACCAAGGCGACGAUCCGUAACUGGUCUGAGAGGAUGAUCAGUCACACUGGAACUGAGACACGGUCCAGACUCCUACGGGAGGCAGCAGUGGGGAAUAUUGGACAAUGGGCGAAAGCCUGAUCCAGCCAUGCCGCGUGUGUGAAGAAGGUCUUCGGAUUGUAAAGCACUUUAAGUUGGGAGGAAGGGCAGUAAGUUAAUACCUUGCUGUUUUGACGUUACCAACAGAAUAAGCACCGGCUAACUUCGUGCCAGCAGCCGCGGUAAUACGAAGGGUGCAAGCGUUAAUCGGAAUUACUGGGCGUAAAGCGCGCGUAGGUGGUUCAGCAAGUUGGAUGUGAAAUCCCCGGGCUCAACCUGGGAACUGCAUCCAAAACUACUGAGCUAGAGUACGGUAGAGGGUGGUGGAAUUUCCUGUGUAGCGGUGAAAUGCGUAGAUAUAGGAAGGAACACCAGUGGCGAAGGCGACCACCUGGACUGAUACUGACACUGAGGUGCGAAAGCGUGGGGAGCAAACAGGAUUAGAUACCCUGGUAGUCCACGCCGUAAACGAUGUCGACUAGCCGUUGGGAUCCUUGAGAUCUUAGUGGCGCAGCUAACGCGAUAAGUCGACCGCCUGGGGAGUACGGCCGCAAGGUUAAAACUUAAAGGAAUUGACGGU